rnacentral:rRNA from 1 species
GGAGUGCGGUCGCAAGAUUAAAACUCAAAGGAAUAGACGGGGACCCGCACAAGUGGUGGAGCAUGUGGUUUAAUUCGAAGAUACGCGAAGAACCUUACCUAGCCUUGACAUAUUUUAGAACACUUUAGAGAUAGAGUGGUGCCUUCGGGAGCUAAUAUACAGGUGCUGCACGGCUGUCGUCAGCUCGUGUCGUGAGAUGUUGGGCUAAGUCCCGCAACGAGCGCAACCCUCGUCACUAGUUACUAACGGUUCGGCCGAGGACUCUAGUGAGACUGCCUUCGUAAGGAGGAGGAAGGUGAGGACGACGUCAAGUCAUCAUGGCCCUUACGGCUAGGGCAACACACGUGCUACAAUGGCCAGGACAAUGAGACGCGAUACCGCGAGGUGGAGCAAAUCUAUAAACCUGGUCUCAGUUCGGAUUGUAGUCUGCAACUCGACUACAUGAAGCUGGAAUCACUAGUAAUCGUAGAUCAGCUAUGCUACGGUGAAUACGUUCCCGGGUCUUGUACACACCGCCCGU